GGGCCAGUAGGGUAACGGAUAGACCACGCAUUCCUGGAAAGAAUGAGGUGCGGGUUCUAGUCCCGCUUGGCGCU